GGCAUCGCAUGGAGAAGUCUGACGGAGCACGCCGCGUGAGUGAUGAAGGUUUUCGGAUCGUAAAGCUCUGUUGUUAGGGAAGAACAAGUACCGUUCGAAUAGGGCGGUACCUUGACGGUACCUAACCAGAAAGCCACGGCUAACUACGUGCCAGCAGCCGCGGUAAUACGUAGGUGGCAAGCGUUGUCCGGAAUUAUUGGGCGUAAAGGGCUCGCAGGCGGUUUCUUAAGUCUGAUGUGAAAGCCCCCGGCUCAACCGGGGAGGGUCAUUGGAAACUGGGGAACUUGAGUGCAGAAGAGGAGAGUGGAAUUCCACGUGUAGCGGUGAAAUGCGUAGAGAUGUGGAGGAACACCAGUGGCGAAGGCGACUCUCUGGUCUGUAACUGACGCUGAGGAGCGAAAGCGUGGGGAGCGAACAGGAUUAGAUACCCUGGUAGUCCACGCCGUAAACGAUGAGUGCUAAGUGUUAGGGGGUUUCCGCCCCUUAGUGCUGCAGCUAACGCAUUAAGCACUCCGCCUGGGGAGUACGGUCGCAAGACUGAAACUCUGAAAUUUUUUGCGGG
rnacentral:rRNA from 1 species